UCYGGUUGAUCCUGCCRGACCCGACUGCUAUCAGAGUGGGACUAAGCCAUGCGAGUCGACACAGCAAUGUGUGGCAUACGGCUCAGUAACACGUAGUCAACAUGCCCCAGGGGACGUGGAUAACCUCGGGAAACUGAGGAUAAACCGCGAUAGGUCACUACUUCUGGAAUGGGUAAUGACCAAAACCUAUAUGGCCCCUGGAUUGGACUGCGGCCGAUCAGGCUGUUGGUGAGGUAAUGGCCCACCAAACCUGUAACCGGUACGGGCUCUGAGAGGAGGAGCCCGGAGAUGGGCACUGAGACAAGGGCCCAGGCCCUAUGGGGCGCAGCAGGCGCGAAACCUCUGCAAUAGGCGAAAGCUUGACAGGGUUACUCUGAGUGAUUUCCGUUAAGGAGAUCUUUUGGCACCUCUAAAAAUGGUGCAGAAUAAGGGGUGGGCAAGUCUGGUGUCAGCCGCCGCGGUAAUACCAGCACCCCGAGUGGUCGGGACGUUUAUUGGGCCUAAAGCAUCCGUAGCCGGUUCUACAAGUCUUCCGUUAAAUCCACCUGCUCAACAGAUGGGCUGCGGAAGAUACUAUGGAGCUAGGAGGCGGGAGAGGCAAGCGGUACUCGAUGGGUAGGGGUAAAAUCCGUUGAUCCAUUGAAGACCACCAGUGGCGAAGGCGGCUUGCCAGAACGCGCUCGACGGUGAGGGAUGAAAGCUGGGGGAGCAAACCGGAUUAGAUACCCGGGUAGUCCCAGCUGUAAACGAUGCAGACUCGGUGAUGAGUUGGCUUUAUGCCAACUCAGUGCCGCAGGGAAGCCGUUAAGUCUGCCGCCUGGGGAGUACGGUCGCAAGACUGAAACUUAAAGGAAUUGGCGGGGGAGCACCACAAGGGGUGAAGCCUGCGGUUCAAUUGGABUCAACGCCGGR
rnacentral:rRNA from 1 species